CUAGUUGAUCUUGGCUCUCCUGAUAACAGAAUCCAAUUUCCUUCCUUCCCUCCACAGGUUUGGAACAAACUCUCCCUUCACUUGUUGCCCUGUAGCACUACAGAAACCCUGGUUCUUGGGCUCCACUGAGCCCCAGCAGAGGCUGUUCCUUCCUGCUGUUUGGAGAUGUGACUCAUUCAUUCACUCACUCCACCCUGCCUCUGCAUCCCUUAAUGGAGAAACGGGCCUAAAACCAAACGGGUAAAAAGCCCUGGGCCAUCCCUGUCUUCCUGUCCCUUGUCUGCCCAGUUGACACCUACUGGUGACUUCUAGGGCACUGAGGAGUGAAAGCGCCUAGGGCUGGAGAAUAGCGCUGAGUUGGGUUUGUGACUCUUCCCUCUCCCUGCCUCACAGGAUUGUGACUCCCCAGCCCCUGCCCUCAAAGCUUCAGACCCCUCAGGUAGCAGCAGGACCUUGUGAUCUUGGCCCCUUGGAUCUGAGAUGGUUUUUGCAUCUUUCCAGGAGAGCCUCACAUUCUUCUUCCAGGUUGUAUCACCCCCGAGUUAGCAUAUCCCAGGCUCGCAGACUCAACACAGCAAGGGUGGGAGACAGCUGGGCACAAAGGGGGAAUUCCGUUCAGCAUGGGCUCUAAACCCACAGAACUGACAAAGCCCCUGCU
rnacentral:lncRNA from 1 species